UACGUAGGGGGCAAGCGUUGGUCCGGAUUUAUUGGGCGUAAAGAGCGUGUAGGCGGCCAGACAAGUCUGCUGUGAAAACUCGAGGCUCAAACCUCGAGCUGUCGGUGGAAACUGUCUGGCUAGAGUCCGGAAGAGGAGAGUGGAAUUCCUGGUGUAGCGGUGAAAUGCGCAGAUAUCAGGAAGAACACCUAUGGCGAAGGCAGCUCUCUGGGACGGUACUGACGCUGAGACGCGAAAGCGUGGGGAGCGAACAGG
rnacentral:rRNA from 1 species